rnacentral:rRNA from 1 species
GACGAACGCUGGCGGCGCGCUUAACACAUGCAAGUCGAACGGAAAGGCCUGCUUUCCCUUGUGGAUUGCGGGUACUCGAGUGGCGAACGGGUGAGUAACACGUGAGUGAUCCGCCCCCAACUUGGGUAUAAGCCUGGGAAACUGGGUCUAAUUCCCGAUAGGACUGCAGGGUGGUGCCUGUGGUGGAAAACGAUUUUCUAGUGGUUGGGGAUGAGCUCGCGGCCUAUCAGCUUGUUGGUGGGGUAAUGGCCUACCAAGGCGGCGACGGGUAGCCGGCCUGAGAGCGUGGACGGCGACAUUGGGACUGGGAUACGGCCCAGACGCCUACGAGAGGCAGCAGUGGGGAAUAAUGGACAGUGGGCGGAAGCCUGAUGCAGCGACGCCGCGUGGGGGAUGACGGCCUUCGGGUUGUAAACUCCUUUCGACCGCGAGGAAGCCACCUGGUUGGAAGGGUGGUGACGGUAGUGGUAGAAGAAGCACCGGCUAACUACGUG